GUGCUCGGCAGCACAUAUAAUAAAAUUGGGAUGAUACAGAGAAGAUUAGCAUGGCCCCUGCGCAAAGAUGACAUGCAAAUUUGUGAAGCAUUCCAUAUUUUU